rnacentral:lncRNA from 1 species
GAAGAAACAGAGUGUUUGAAGGACCAACAGUUGCAGAACCUGAAAAUGCUCAGAAGAACUCUUAGAAGCACGAUGCCACGCUGGCAUCUUGUUGACAGCGCAACACUUCGAUCGUGAUGAGAAGCAGCACGUUUGGUGCCCAACGUUGGUAACGAAGUCAAAGGGCAGGAGUGACAGCUACAGCAAAAAGCAUGUAAAGUUGUCAGACAAAAGGUGGUUGUUGUUGGCUAGUGGGAAGCUAGUGAAGUCAACAUCAUGACAAGAAGCUGCGCAGUGUCCGCUGGAUAAAGAGAGGACCUGCGAGUUGUUUUGUUGCCUAUAUAAGAAGAGAGCUUUCUUCUUAUUAGGGUUAGCACUUUAAGAAGAAAAAGUGUGAGAGUUCUUUGUGUUCAUAUCUGAGUUUCAAACGAAGAAUUGUUGUGGGUUCUUUUGGUGAGUGAACAAAAGAGUGUGCAUAGCUGUUGCUGUGCUGGUAAGCUGGGUAGAUUAGGAAUCGAUCAGGACCAAAUCACAGUGUGUGAUGUUGGUUAACACUGAUCAAACAAGAUUGUAAAAGAGUUGUUUGAAGAUUGCUAAUAAAACCAAGUUUGAAGAAAUUUCUGUAUCUUUGUAGUCGUUUCAAGGUUCUAGUUCUUACAAUUGGUAUCAGAGCAGGAAACCGAUCUGUGAGACUUUCUCGUCUCCAAACAGGUUAGAUCCUGAACUAUGGAACCUACUACUGUUGGUACAGGAACAAGCAAGAACAUCACUCUGGAUACAAGAAGAUAUGGGUACUGGAAAGUUAGGAUGACACAACUCAUCAGAGGUCAAGUUGAAGAAACAUGGACUGCUGUAGAAGAAGGUUGGGAACCUUCGUUCGAGUCGACUGCUGAAAGGAACAACCAUAGAGAUAAAGCUGAAGAUGAUCGCCUAAGCCUUGUUGUCUUUACUGCCAAAAUUGACAAACUGCAAGAUUCUGAUACUGAUUCAGACAGCAAUGAUGAAGUGAAUCCUAAAAAGGAAUACAGGACGCUCUAUGACAGUUGGAUGCAACUGAGUCAAGACAAGCUUAAACUUCUGGAAGAAAAGCUGAGUCUUGAAGCCAAAAUCACUAGUGCCUAUGAAGAAAAAAAUCGUCCUCCCACUCCUACCUUAAGUUGUGAUAAGUUCACUCAGGACUUGUUCAAGAAAGCUGAAGAUCUUCACAUCUAUCUUAACAAAGAAAGGAUAGAGCAACCAUGCUAGAACGAGAGCUUAACGACAAGCAUAAGCAUAUCAGAAUGUUGAACAGUGCGUCGGGCGACCUGAAUAACAUUCUGAAAAGGCCUGAGCAUCAAGGAUUAGGAUACCAAGAAGGUCAAGAACAGUGCAACAAAAGGUCUGUGAAGUUUACCAGUGGAGGGAUGCUAGAAGAAACAGUGGAUAAUCAACAGUCUGGCAUUGAUAACUUGGUGGAACUUAGUACUGUGAAAAGAAAAGACAAUACUAAAAGUUACUCUACGAGAAGAGUGUUCAACAGAAGGUUUUAUGGAUGUGGUCACUGUGGAAGAAAAGGUCAUCAAAGGAGCAGAUGCUACAAGUUCAAGGAAAGAGUCUGUCUUCUAUGGACUCUGAACAGAGGAUACUUAGAACCAACCAAGUUCUGUCACAUGUGGGUGUCAAAGAAAGAUCUCUAUGGAGACAUGCAGAGUGAAGUGUCUAACAAACAUCUUCAAGACAUGUACGAUACAGAAGAGGCAGUCUACAACAGUUGUGAAAGUGAAGUCACUAUAGAGCAUCUGAAGGAGAAGACAGGAGAUGUCCAAAACUUGAACUGCACCCUCGUGUGUACAGAACCCACAGUUGCAGCUAUGCAUGCCCAUGUUGCGUAUACCUCUGCGGCUACUCCGGAUGGUAAUUCGUGGUAUUUUGACAGUGGUUGCUCUAGACACAUGACCGGAGAUCGAAAUACUCUUGACGACUACACAAAUGUGUCAAGUGGAAAAGUCACCUUCGGGGAUGGCGGUAAGGGCAACAUAAAAGGAAAGGGUUUGAUUUCAAAAUCAAAUCAACCUCAAUUGGAAAAUGUCUACUUUGUUGAGGGAUUAAAGGCUAACUUGAUCAGCAUCAGUCAGCUCUGCGAUGAUGGCUUGAAAGUUUCUUUUACAAAGAUUAACUGUAGUGCCUGUGAUGAAAAUGAUAAUGAAGUGCUUUCAGGUGUGCGAUCAGAAAAUAAUUGCUAUAUGUGGAAGAAGUCUGAAACGUGUCUGUCGGCAACAACGUCUAAAUUAGAUCUGUGGCAUAGACGUCUGGGACAUAUUAACACACAGAGUUUGAUCAAGAUUGUGAAUGCAGAAGUGGUUAGAGGAAUUCCCAAGCUGGAAGGAAAAUCUGAUGCAGUAUGUGAGGCAUGUAGCAAAGGAAAGCAGAUCAAAGUUCAACACAAGAAAACAGCUGAUAUUGGAACAAAGAAAAUUCUUGAGCUUGUCCACAUGGAUCUCAUGGGACCAAUGCAAACAGAAAGCCUGAAUGGGAAAAGGUAUGCCUUUGUUUUAGUUGAUGAUUUUUCAAGAUACACAUGGGUUAGAUUUUUAAGAGAAAAAUCAGAAGCAGUUGAAAGCUUUAGGAUUCUGGCUCUUCAGCUGCAAACUGAAAAGGGAAGCAUUGUCCAAAUCCGAAGUGAUCAUGGUGGUGAGUUUCAAAAUGAGGAGUUUGAAAAGUUCUGUAACCUGCAAGGCAUCAGACAUCAAUAUUCUGCCCCAAGAACGCCACAACAGAAUGGAAUUGUUGAAAGGAAAAACAGAACUCUUCAAGAAAUGGCAAGGGCAAUGAUUCAUGGAAACAAUGUGUCACCUAGGUUCUGGGCUGAAGCAAUUAACACAGCCUGUUACAUCAUCAAUCGUGUUUAUGUUAAACCAAAAACGAGCACUACUCCUUACGAAAUUUGGAAAGGAAAGACACCAAAUCUGUGCUACUUUCAUACCUUUGGAUGCAUAUGCUACAUUCUAAAUGAUAAAGAUCAUCUUGGAAAAUUUGAUGCAAGGAGUGAUGAAGGGAUAUUUCUGGGAUAUGCAACAAAUAGCAUGGCUUACAGAGUGUAUAAUAAACGCCUUAAGAGAGUAGAGGAAUCUGUCAAUAUCGUGUUUGAUGACAGAAGUCCAACACAAUUGUUUCCAGUUGCUGUAGAUGAUGAAACUCCUAAUGAGGAGGCUACUCAGGAAAAACCAGAAGAAGACCAAGAAAGGAUAAGUAACGAUAGUCAAGGUGAAACAUCAGAAACAGUGGGUGAAACUGCAAACACUCCGUUAAAAGUACCAAGAAAUCACUCUGAAUCGGAUGUUAUUGGACACUUGAGAGGUGAUCGUACUACUCGGGGAGUCCAGAUUAACUUCAGAGAAAUGCUUCAACAUUCAUGCUUUGUGUCUGUUAUGGAGCCCAAAGAUGUGUUUGCAGCUCUUGAAGAUGAGUUUUGGUUCUCAGCUUGUCAUGAAGAGUUAAACCAGUUUACCCGACAUGAUGUGUGGAAUCUUGUUCCAAGACCUACUCAUAUAAAUGUCGUGGGAACGAAAUGGAUUUUCAAGAACAAGAUUGAUGAAAAUGGAAAUGUAACAAGGAAUCGAGCAAGAUUGGUUGCUCAAGGAUAUUCACAGGUUGAAGGAGUAGACUUUGAUGAGACAUUUGCUCAUGUAGCUCGUCUAGAAUCUAUUCGGCUGCUUCUUGGUAUGGCAUGUCUUCUAAACAUCAAGAUGUUUCAAAUGGAUGUAAAGAGUGCUUUUCUAAAUGGAUUGAUCCAAGAAGAAGUCUACGUAUCUCAACCUAAAGGAUUUGAAGAUCCAAACUUUCCAGAUCAUGUCUACAAGCUGAAGAAAGCUCUCUAUGGAUUAAAGCAGGCUCCUCGUGCUUGGUAUGAACGUCUUACUGAGUUUCUGGUUGAUAAUGGGUUCAAGCGUGGGAGUGUUGACAAAACCCUGUUUGUCUAUGAAGAAGGUGUGGACAUUCUUAUUGUCCAAAUAUAUGUUGAUGAUAUUGUGUUUGGAAGCAUAAGAAAAGAAUUAGUGAAUACCUUUGUAAAGGUUAUGACAAAGGAAUUUGAGAUGAGUAUGGUAGGAGAAAUGAACUACUUUCUGGGUCUGCAAAUCAAACAGACAGAUGAUGGGAUUCAUGUAUCUCAGGGAAACUAUGCCAAGAGCUUAAUUCAAAGAUUUGGAAUGCAGACUAGCAAGACGUCCAGAACAGCAAUGAGCUCCACUGUGAAACUAUCCAAAGAUGAAUAGGGACAGAAAGUUGAUGAAAAACUAUAUCGGGCUAUGAUUGGAAGUCUUCUGUACCUCACUACAAGCAGACCUGAUCUAUGCUUCAGCGUGGGAGUCUGUGCAAGAUAUCAGGCCGAUCCAAGAUUGUCUCAUCUGAACGCUGUUAAGAGGAUCAUCAAAUAUGUGAAAGGUACCACUGACCGAGGGUUGUAUUAUACUAAGCAAACUAAUCCGAAUCUUGCUGGUUUUUGUGACUCAGAUUGGGCAGGUAAUCUGGAUGAUAGAAGAAGUACCUCAGGCGGAUGCUUCUUUCUGGGAAAUAACCUCAUAUCCUGGCACAGUAAGAAGCAAAGCUGUGUAACCUUGUCAACAGCUGAAGCUGAAUACAUUGCCCUAAGAAGUUGCUGCACGCAAUUAAUGUGGAUGAAACAAAUGCUAUCUGACUAUGGUAUUGUUUCCUCAACCUUAUUUGUGUAUUGUAACAACAUGAGUGCUAUAAAUAUUUCAAAAAAUCCUGUCCAACACUCUCGUACAAAACAUAUUGACAUUAGACAUCAUUUCGUUAGAGAACUUGUUGAAAACAAAGUGAUAGAGAUCUCUCAUGUAUCCUCAGAAAAACAACUUGCUGAUAUGUUCACUAAACCAUUAGAUUUAAACAGUUUUGUAAAUCUGCAAAAAUCUAUUGGAUUGUGUGAUCACUAAUGAUUCUUGUCUUUAAGGCGUAUGCAACAGGUUCCUCUGUACAGGGUUGCAUAGCUUUGUGUCUGUAUUUUAAACAAAAAACUUUCAGCAAGUCUUCUCAGGAAAACAGCUGCUUCGCAUACUACUUGUCGAAGAAGUCCGAUACGGAUGUGUAGUGGCUGCAAGAAAAAGAAAAUCUCCAGAAAAGUGUAGGCAGGAAAGGGGUGAUACUUCUUUCUAUCUUCAAAGGUACAUCGUGUGUAUAUAUGUACUUUAUCAAAAAAAAAAACAAAAAAAAAAACAAAAAAAAAAAACAAAAAAAAAAAACGAAAAAAAAGAUAAAAGUUUCAAAGAAACAAAAAAAAAAGGGGAAGUUAAAGGAUCCCUCUUCUCUCUGCUCAUAUCACCCCCCUCGCCGUGAGAGCAGCUCCUACACAUCUUGAGGAUGAAAUCUAAAGAAGUAUGCUGAGUGUAGACUAGCCUGAAGAGAUCAAUGUGUAUGUUUCAUCUCAUUGGGCUGCAAAGACUUUGUCUUCCAAGUAACUCAAGACGUAAACAGCUAUGCACCUCUGUCCAAAGGAAUAUUUACAUAUAGUCUGGGAAUUGAACUCAUGUGUGUAUUAUCAAUCCUUGAGACUUUGUUGUUUACAUUUCCUGUCAGUGUAUAUCCUAGAGUGUCUCUGGUGGUUAUUCUGUCUCAGUUCUUAUCUGCAUAAGUAUUUAUGUAUUUUGUAUCUCGUGUUGGGCCAUGGUUGGACCUAUCUGUGGGCCUAAUUGGUUCUGUGUGGAUUUGAUCUGUUUGUUGAGUACUGUUCAUGCACACUAGGGUUGCAACUUAUAAGGACAUCAUCUAUAUCCUUUGCUCCCAUUCUCCACAACAAUUAAAGCGGCUACUUCUUUCAGAUCUGAUAAUCUUCUUGGUCAUCUGCAAACAUGUCCCAACCAAACGAUGGGUCUCGACCAGGUCAAUCGCAACCGUCCUCUGCUCAUCCUACUUCCGCUGCCACGACAAGCCAUGCGAUUCCUCCUCUUUUCUCUGGUGUCAAAUCUGGUGCACCUCCUGCAAAGAAAUCGAGAUCCAAAGUCGUUUCUCCUUCCCCAGAAGUCUAUCCUGCUCUUACUCGGUUUUUGCGCCGUCUUUCCUCCGCUCAAGUUCCCCUUUCGUAUUCUGCAUGUCUUCCUGACGUUUCAGAAGCCCAAGUUCCGUUAGGACAACUUCAUCUCUCUGAUGAUACUACUGAGUCAUCUCCUCCACCGGAAUUCCUCAACCGGUACAUCUUGCAACGACGUCGCAUUGCUGAUCUGAUUAGACGGUUUCCUGAAUUAAACAGACCAGCCACUCCCAUUUUCUCGUCUCGGUUUAUCUCUGCUCACGCUGCAGAGCGAUUCCAGUUUCUCCAUGGUCAAGACUUCAUCCCCAUGAAGAUUCUACGGCUGAAAUACAAAAUGAUGAUGUUCGUUCCAUCCUGUUCAGGGCAGACCUUCUUCCAACAGUUAUCGAGAUUGACAGUUUCAUCGAAACGGUGGUCAAGGAAUUCUAUGCCAAUCUUCCGGAGGCUGAAUGUGGGGACUCUGAGGUUCUCAGAGUCUUUGUUAGAGGGUCUAUGUAUGAGUUCUCACCGUCUCUCAUCAAUCGCCUCUUCCAACUGCCAAAUGAGCCAUAUCCUUUGAAUACAUCUCCUUUGAAUACAUCUCAACUUCGGGCCUUCGGAGAUCUUGAUGCUGUGGCUGCUCUCCUUACUGAUGGGCAAGUGUCAACUGUGGCUGAAGUGUCAACCGGUCUCCUUGGCGAUAUCAUAACUGUUCUUCAUCAAAUCAGCUGUUUCAACUGGUUACCUUCCACAAAUCAUCGUGUUCUGUCCCCUGACAGAUGUGUUCUUCUGUACUUAAUAGCCAAAGGGGAGCGCUUAAACUUUGGAAAGAUCGUGUUUGAUGAGAUUCGCUCGUGUGCAUCUCGCUCGGGUGCUGCCUCAUCGACUGAUUGUUUAAUCUUCCCCAACCUGAUUGAUCAGCUGUUACGUUUUCAGCGGGUCAUUCCAUCUCUGACUGGUGAUGUCUUGUCCUCUACUCCUGCAAUGUUUGUGACCCCGGAAGCGGUUGCGCCUACAUCUGGUCCCUCACUGACCUUGGCUGCUGAUCUUGCUCAUCUAGCUCACUCUGCUACGACCAUCAUGCAACGAUUCUCAAGUAAGUCCUUCUUGUUCUUAGUCUACUUCUCUGUUUCACACCUGUUUUUUAUAUGAGUCUGUGCACUCAAGCAGGGGGAGAAUAUGUUGAUGUCUGUACUCGUAAACUUAAGGAGCACACAGAAAGCGACAACCUUGAUGUUGCGGAUAGUGACUAGUUUGAUCAAUAGAUCUUCUGUUUAGGGGGAGUAGUGAGUUGUGUUUGAUGCUUAAGGAAUUAUUCAUGUUUAAGUGUAUUUGAAACCUGUGCUUGUUUCAAAUGAUUGUAUGUGCUGAACCUUGUCCUCUUAAUCUAUCCUUCUCUAAGUCCUCUGGAUCAACUUGGAACGAUACUGUUGUAUCUUGUAUUGCCUUUGCUGCGUGUGUCUGUUUGUUCGUAUGCAGGUAGCUUGAGGCACAUACUCAGACAAAAAGGGGGAGAUUGAAGAAACAGAGUGUCUGAAGGACCAACAGUUGCAGAACCUGAAAAUGCUCAGAAGAACUCUUAGAAGCACGAUGCCACGCUGGCAUCUUGUUGACAACGCAACACUUCGAUCGUGAUGAGAAGCAGCACGUUUGGUGCCCAACGUUGGUAACGAAGUCAAAGGGCAGGAGUGACAGCUACAGCAAAAAGCAUGUAAAGUUGUCAGACAAAAGGUGGUUGUUGUUGGCUAGUGGGAAGCUAGUGAAGUCAACAUCAUGACAAGAAGCUGCGCAGUGUCCGCUGGAUAAAGAGAGGACCUGCGAGUUGUUUUGUUGCCUAUAUAAGAAGAGAGCUUUCUUCUUAUUAGGGUUAGCACUUUAAGAAGAAAAAAGUGUGAGAGUUCUUUGUGUUCAUAUCUGAGUUUCAAACGAAGAAUUGUUGUGGGUUCUUUUGGUGAGUGAACAAAAGAGUGUGCAUAGCUGUUGCUGUGCUGGUAAGCUGGGUAGAUUAGGAAUCGAU